UUCCUUGUAGCUCAGACGGUAAAGCGUCUGUCUACAAUGCAGGAGACCCAGAUUCGAUCCCUGGGUGGGGAA
rnacentral:tRNA from 1 species